rnacentral:lncRNA from 1 species
UGCUAUCCCCUAUUGUUAUGCUCAAUUAAGUCCUGGGCUGAAUAAACCAUUGUUAGGCUCCAGUGCACUCUCCCUGGCUUAACAGGUGUAACAUUUUUGCAUUGGGUGUGUUGCCUUACCAAGCACUAAGGCUUCACUAUCUGCUCAGAAGUCAAACAGGGAGGACCUAUGGGUCAUUGGUUCAGAAAUGCUAUUAGAAAAUUGAAGUUUUAGACUUGGAUUUAGGGCAGAUAGCGCUGCAUUUUCAAUUUUAAGCAUCAAGAACAUGACUGCUGAGAAUUGAGGCCUUCCUGAUGAUUUCCUGCCUUUAGUCACAGACGUCAAACUAUGGGUUCUGAUUCUGGUUCCGAUUCCGGUUCCGAUUCCACUCGUGGUUCCACUGGUCGUUCCACUGGUUAUUCCAAUUCUGGUUCUGAGUUUGGUUCCAACCGCCAUUCCAGUAGCCGUUCCGGUCCCAUCUUCGGAUCCACCAUGAUUAUGACUGUCAAAUCCCGCAAUGGACAAGAUUUGUAAAGAGAGUCUGAGGGAAGACAGUUCCGUCGACAGAUGAUGUAAUUAUGUAACGAUUCGUCAGUAUCAAUGAACAUUGAACUGGAGUGAUUAUAUCACCUUAUAACGUGGGUUACUUUGUAUGUUAUUCCAAAGACUUUUAUCUUAUGUUAUUUGUACUCAGAAACAAAGCCAUUGAAUCAUUGUUCUACAAGAACCUGAAUACAGUUUUAAUAAAUUCUUUAAACUGUA